AUUGAACGCUGGCGGCAGGCCUAACACAUGCAAGUCGAGCGGAUGAAGGGAGCUUGCUCCUGGAUUCAGCGGCGGACGGGUGAGUAAUGCCUAGGAACCUGCCUGGUAGUGGGGGAUAACGUCCGGAAACGGGCGCUAAUACCGCAUACGUCCUGAGGGAGAAAGUGGGGGAUCUUCGGACCUCACGCUAUCAGAUGAGCCUAGGUCGGAUUAGCUAGUUGGUGGGGUAAAGGCCUACCAAGGCGACGAUCCGUAACUGGUCUGAGAGGAUGAUCAGUCACACUGGAACUGAGACACGGUCCAGACUCCUACGGGAGGCAGCAGUGGGGAAUAUUGGACAAUGGGCGAAAGCCUGAUCCAGCCAUGCGGCGGGUGUGAAGAAGGUCUUCGGAUUGUAAGGCACUUUAAGUUGGGAGGAAGGGCAGUAAGUUAAUACCUUGCUGUUUUGACGUGACCAACAGAAUAAGCACCGGCUAACUGCGU
rnacentral:rRNA from 1 species